AUUGAACGCUGGCGGCAGGCCUAACACAUGCAAGUCGAGCGGAUGAAGGGAGCUUGCUCCUGGAUUCAGCGGCGGACGGGUGAGUAAUGCCUAGGAAUCUGCCUGGUAGUGGGGGAUAACGUCCGGAAACGGGCGCUAAUACCGCAUACGUCCUGAGGGAGAAAGUGGGGGGUCUUCGGACCUCACGCUAUCAGAUGAGCCUAGGUCGGAUUAGCUAGUUGGUGGGGUAAAGGCCUACCAAGGCGACGAUCCGUAACUGGUCUGAGAGGAUGAUCAGUCACACUGGAACUGAGACACGGUCCAGACUCCUACGGGAGGCAGCAGUGGGGAAUAUUGGACAAUGGGCGAAAGUCUGAUCCAGCCAGGGCGCGUGUGUGAAGAAGGUCUUCGGAUUGUAAAGCACGUUAAGUUGGGAGGAAGGGCAGUAAGUUAAUACCUUGCUGUUUUGACGGUACCAACAGAAUAAGCACCGGCUAACUUCGUG
rnacentral:rRNA from 1 species